rnacentral:rRNA from 1 species
GAUGAACGCUGGCGGCGUGCCUAAUACAUGCAAGUCGAGCGAACGGACGAGACUCUUUCUUCUCUUCUGUUAGCGGCGGACGGGUAAGUAACACGUGGAUAACCUACCUAUAAGACUGGGAUAACUUCGGGAAACCUGAUCUCAUACCGGAUCAUAUUUUGAACCGCAUGGUUCAACAGUGCAAGACGUUCUUGCUGUCACUUAUAGAUGUAUCCGCGCUGCAUUAGCUAGUUGGUAAGGUAACGGCUUACCAAGGCAACGAUGCAUAGCCGACCUGAGAGGGUGAUCGGACAAACUGGAAAUGAGACAAGGUCCAGACUACUAAGGGAGGCAGCAGUAGGGAAUCUUCCGAAAUGGGCGAAAGACUGAAGGAGCAAAGCCGCGUGAGUGAUGAAGGUCUUCGGAUCGUAAAACUCUGUUAUUAGGGAAGAACAGAUGUGUAAGUAAAUGUGCACAUCUUGACGGUACCUAAUCAGAAAGCAACGGCUAACUACGUG